rnacentral:rRNA from 1 species
UACGUAGGCACCAAGCGUUGUCCGGAAUUACUGGGCGUAAAGGGCUCGUAGGCGGCCAACUAAGUCAGACGUGAAAUCCCUCGGCUUAACCGGGGAACUGCGUCUGAUACUGGAUAGCUUGAGUACAGAAGAGGAUCGCGGAAUUCCCGGUGUAGAGGUGAAAUUCGUAGAUAUCGGGAGGAACACCAGUGGCGAAGGCGGCGAUCUGGGCUGAUACUGACGCUGAGGUGCGAAAGCGUGGGGAGCAAACAGG